GGUGUAGGCGGCUUGGCAAGUGUCCUGUGAAAGCCCACGGCUCAACCGUGGAACUGCAGGGCAAACUGUUAGGCUUGAGGUCGGUAGAGGUGCCUGGAACUCUAGGUGGAGCGGUGAAAUGCGUAGAUAUCUAGAGGAACGCCGGAGGCGAAAGCGGGGCACUGGGCCGAUCCUGACGCUGAGACCCGAAAGCGUGGGGAGCAAACAGGAUUAGAUACCCUGGUAGUCC
rnacentral:rRNA from 1 species